AUUGAACGCUGGCGGCAUGCUUUACACAUGCAAGUCGAACGGUAACAGGCCGCAAGGUGCUGACGAGUGGCGAACGGGUGAGUAAUGCAUUGGAACGUGCCCAGUCGUGGGGGAUAACGCAGCGAAAGCUGCGCUAAUACCGCAUACGAGCUAUGGAUGAAAGCGGGGGACCGUAAGGCCUCGCGCGCUUGGAGCGGCCGAUGUCAGAUUAGGUAGUUGGUGGGGUAAAGGCUCACCAAGCCAACGAUCUGUAGCUGGUCUGAGAGGACGACCAGCCACACUGGGACUGAGACACGGCCCAGACUCCUACGGGAGGCAGCAGUGGGGAAUUUUGGACAAUGGGCGCAAGCCUGAUCCAGCAAUGCCGCGUGCAGGAAGAAGGCCUUCGGGUUGUAAACUGCUUUAGUACGGAACGAAACGGUCCUGGUUAAUACCCGGGGCUAAUGACGGUACCGUAAGAAUAAGCACCGGCUAACUACGUGCCAGCCGCCGCCGUAACAC
rnacentral:rRNA from 1 species